rnacentral:lncRNA from 1 species
AAAAAGCCCCAAACUAUUUUGGUUUCAGAUAAAGAAAAUGAAUACAGUGGUGACAUUUGUAAAGAUAUAAGCUGGAUUCCCAAGCAGUUUGCUUAGGGAAGGAUCUGCAUUACUACUCACACGCACAAAAACCACAAGAACUCUACUAAACAGCAAUAUGUCUUUGGGAACCCAUUUUAACUUCCAUCAUGCCUAUGUCUGUGCUGCUGCCAGAGCUAUUGUUGACUCAAGGAACAGCUUUGUGGCUGUAUUUGCCUGUGCCCUGGUUUGUCCUUGGAAGACAGAGCAUAUGUAUGAAGCAAGCGUGUUGUAAUGGGACAUGUAGGUGCAGCUGUUACAAAGGUAAACAGAACACACCAGCUGUCCUCACAUGGUGCUUUUGCCCUUUUUGCCUUGUCC